rnacentral:rRNA from 1 species
UACAGAGGGGGCAAGCGUUGUUCGGAAUUACUGGGCGUAAAGGGCGCGUAGGCGGCCUGUUAAGUCGAACGUGAAAUCCCCGGGCUCAACCCGGGAACUGCGUCCGAAACUGGCAGGCUUGAAUCCGGGAGAGGGAUGUGGAAUUCCAGGUGUAGCGGUGAAAUGCGUAGAUAUCAGGAGGAACAUCGGUGGCGAAGGCGACAUCCUGGACCGGUAUUGACGCUGAGGCGCGAAAGCCAGGGGAGCAAACGGG